rnacentral:lncRNA from 1 species
GAGUCCCAGGAUCGAGACCCACGUCAGGCUCCCUGCAUGGAGCCUGCUUCUCCCUCUGCCUGUGUCUCUGCCUCUCUCUCUGUGUGUGUCUCUCAUGAAUAAAUAAAAUCUUAAAAAAAAAAAGAAACCACAUUCUCUAAAGGCAUAUGGAACCACUGAUUAUACUGGUAAAACAAUCACGGACUUAAAACUACUUGUUUCUAGAUAUGAUUAAGAAUACAUCAGAUAUCCAUGGAACCUUGGAACAGUAACCAUACAGAGUUCUCUCUGCUUUGGUUUAUGAAAACAAUAGAUACAACAUGUUAAGGUGUUUUACUCAUAGUAUCUGUUAUUUUCCCCAUGCCUUGUAACUCAGAAGAAAAACAGCAAUUAUCACAAAGAAGAAACUCACAGGAGGUCCCCUCUGUCUUUCCUUUCAGGAAGUUGAUGCUAUGUUCAGUUUGUUUUGUUUUGUUUUGUUUUCUCUAUGCCUAACUUCUCUUUUCUGGAAGGGACUAAAACAUGGUCCAACUUGAACCAGAAACACAAUCUUUAAGCUAACAAGAGCACAAUGCAGCAAUGCUACUACUUACCUUGGUCUCUAUGAAAGGGCUCAGACACACUCAAAGUCAACCAAUGACAUUGAUGCACCUUUCUCUCAGACUAACAAUGUUAGAGACAGAGGGACCUUAGAGACCAAGUGGUCCUAUUGUCUUAUUUGACGGAUUAGGAAAGAGUAGAGUAAUUUGAAUAAGACCAUCCAUUGAGCUAGUGGUGGAGCCAAAAUUUGGAAUCAAGGUUUCCUAGCUCCUGGGCCCACUAUCGUUUGUAUUAUAUUUUCUAUCACGAUUCUGUUGAGGCUUAGAGCAGCAGUUAACAACCAUGACCAUAUUAAAAAAAAAAAAAAUCAAACUGCUGUGGCUAGAGAAAGGGUGUAAGCUCCUCCGGCACUGUGGUGGGUCACUGGAUCCACGGCACCCGAAAAUGCCUUCUCAACUCUCAUCUGUCUCUUUUGAACCUGUUGAGAAAUGUCUGUCGUCUCAACUGUAACUAUGCAAGCAGGCCCUUUGAACGUUUGUAUUUUUCCCCCUUCCUCUGAUGACUUCAAACUGAGAUAUAGGUACCCUAUCAUUCAACCUCCAGGCUGGAGGUGAGGUGGGUUAUUAGAUUUCCACCCCCUUUAGGGAAGUUCCAGUCAGAAUCCCUUUCCCGGAGGAGAUUCAUAUGUUCAAAUCGUCGGGAAGACCAGGUAUGAGAACAGAGAAGAUCUAUGGAAAUGAACUUUAGCACCUUCUGCUCCUUGAUC